UACGUAGGGUGCGAGCGUUAAUCGGAAUUACUGGGCGUAAAGCGUGCGCAGGCGGCUUCGCAAGUCAGGCGUGAAAUCCCCGGGCUUAACCUGGGAAUUGCGCUUGAAACUACGGUGCUGGAGUGCGGCAGAGGAAGGUGGAAUUCCACGUGUAGCGGUGAAAUGCGUAGAUAUCCGGAGGAACACCGGUGGCGAAGGCGGAUCUCUGGGCCGAUACUGACGCUGAGGAGCGAAAGCGUGGGGAGCGAACAGG
rnacentral:rRNA from 1 species